GACGAACGCUGGCGGCGUGCUUAACACAUGCAAGUCGAACGGAAAGGCCCUGCUUUUGUGGGGUGCUCGAGUGGCGAACGGGUGAGUAACACGUGAGUAACCUGCCCUUGACUUUGGGAUAACUUCAGGAAACUGGGGCUAAUACCGGAUAGGAGCUCCUGCUGCAUGGUGGGGGUUGGAAAGUUUCGGCGGUUGGGGAUGGACUCGCGGCUUAUCAGCUUGUUGGUGGGGUAGUGGCUUACCAAGGCUUUGACGGGUAGCCGGCCUGGGAGGGUGACCGGCCACAUUGGGACUGAGAUACGGCCCAGCCUCCUCCGGGAGGCAGCAGUGGGGAAUAUUGCACAAUGGGCGGAAGCCUGAUGCAGCACCGCCGCGUGCGGGAUGACGGCCUUCGGGUUGUAAACCGCUUUCGCCUGUGACGAAGCGUGAGUGACGGUAAUGGGUAAAGAAGCACCGGCUAACUACGUG
rnacentral:rRNA from 1 species